GAUGAACGCUGGCGGCGUGCCUAAUACAUGCAAGUCGAGCGAACGGACGAGAAGCUUGCUUCUCUGAUGUUAGCGGCGGACGGGUGAGUAACACGUGGAUAACCUACCUAUAAGACUGGGAUAACUUCGGGAAACCGGAGCUAAUACCGGAUGAUAUUUUGAACCGCAUGGUUCAAAAGUGAAAGACGGUCUUGCUGUCACUUAUAGAUGGAUCCGCGCUGCAUUAGCUAGUUGGUAAGGUAACGGCUUACCAAGGCAACGAUGCAUAGCCGACCUGAGCGGGUGAUCGGCCACACUGGAACUGAGACACGGUCCAGACUCCUACGGGAGGCAGCAGUAGGGAAUCUUCCGCAAUGGGCGAAAGCCUGACGGGGCAACGCCGCGUGAGUGAUGAAGGUCUUCGGAUCGUAAAACUCUGUUAUUAGGGAAGAACAUAUGUGUAAGUAACUGUGCACAUCUUGACGGUACCUAAUCAGAAAGCCACGGCUAACUACGUG
rnacentral:rRNA from 1 species